rfam:Myotis brandtii contig279337, whole genome shotgun sequence.
AGGCCUGAAGAGGGAAGCAGGGCCUGAUCUGUAGCCUCCAUGGCAGCUGUUGAUCAGGACUUGCCUCUCUCUUUCUUUCCA